rnacentral:rRNA from 1 species
CGGCGGACGGGUGAGUAAUGCCUAGGAAUCUGCCUGGUAGUGGGGGACAACGUUUCGAAAGGAACGCUAAUACCGCAUACGUCCUACGGGAGAAAGCAGGGGACCUUCGGGCCUUGCGCUAUCAGAUGAGCCUAGGUCGGAUUAGCUAGUUGGUGAGGUAAUGGCUCACCAAGGCGACGAUCCGUAACUGGUCUGAGAGGAUGAUCAGUCACACUGGAACUGAGACACGGGUCCAGACUCUUACGGGAGGCAGCAGCC